rnacentral:rRNA from 1 species
UGUGUGUUAGUGGAAGCGUCUGGAAAGGCGCGCGAUACAGGGUGACAGCCCCGUACACAAAAAUGCACAUGCUGUGAGCUCGAUGAGUAGGGCGGGACACGUGGUAUCCUGUCUGAAUAUGGGGGGACCAUCCUCCAAGGCUAAAUACUCCUGACUGACCGAUAGUGAACCAGUACCGUGAGGGAAAGGCGAAAAGAACCCCGGCGAGGGGAGUGAAAAAGAACCUGAAACCGUGUACGUACAAGCAGUGGGAGCACGCUUAGGCGUGUGACUGCGUACCUUUUGUAUAAUGGGUCAGCGACUUAUAUUCUGUAGCAAGGUUAACCGAAUAGGGGAGCCGAAGGGAAACCGAGUCUUAACUGGGCGUUAAGUUGCAGGGUAUAGACCCGAAACCCGGUGAUCUAGCCAUGGGCAGGUUGAAGGUUGGGUAACACUAACUGGAGGACCGAACCGACUAAUGUUGAAAAAUUAGCGGAUGACUUGUGGCUGGGGGUGAAAGGCCAAUCAAACCGGGAGAUAGCUGGUUCUCCCCGAAAGCUAUUUAGGUAGCGCCUCGUGAAUUCAUCUCCGGGGGUAGAGCACUGUUUCGGCAAGGGGGUCAUCCCGACUUACCAACCCGAUGCAAACUGCGAAUACCGGAGAAUGUUAUCACGGGAGACACACGGCGGGUGCUAACGUCCGUCGUGAAGAGGGAAACAACCCAGACCGCCAGCUAAGGUCCCAAAGUCAUGGUUAAGUGGGAAACGAUGUGGGAAGGCCCAGACAGCCAGGAUGUUGGCUUAGAAGCAGCCAUCAUUUAAAGAAAGCGUAAUAGCUCACUGGUCGAGUCGGCCUGCGCGGAAGAUGUAACGGGGCUAAACCAUGCACCGAAGCUGCGGCAGCGACGCUGAUGCGUUGUUGGGUAGGGGAGCGUUCUGUAAGCCUGCGAAGGUGUGCUGUGAGGCAUGCUGGAGGUAUCAGAAGUGCGAAUGCUGACAUAAGUAACGAUAAAGCGGGUGAAAAGCCCGCUCGCCGGAAGACCAAGGGUUCCUGUCCAACGUUAAUCGGGGCAGGGUGAGUCGACCCCUAAGGCGAGGCCGAAAGGCGUAGUCGAUGGGAAACAGGUUAAUAUUCCUGUACUUGGUGUUACUGCGAAGGGGGGACGGAGAAGGCUAUGUUGGCCGGGCGACGGUUGUCCCGGUUUAAGCGUGUAGGCUGGUUUUCCAGGCAAAUCCGGAAAAUCAAGGCUGAGGCGUGAUGACGAGGCACUACGGUGCUGAAGCAACAAAUGCCCUGCUUCCAGGAAAAGCCUCUAAGCAUCAGGUAACAUCAAAUCGUACCCCAAACCGACACAGGUGGUCAGGUAGAGAAUACCAAGGCGCUUGAGAGAACUCGGGUGAAGGAACUAGGCAAAAUGGUGCCGUAACUUCGGGAGAAGGCACGCUGAUAUGUAGGUGAAGCGACUUGCUCGUGGAGCUGAAAUCAGUCGAAGAUACCAGCUGGCUGCAACUGUUUAUUAAAAACACAGCACUGUGCAAACACGAAAGUGGACGUAUACGGUGUGACGCCUGCCCGGUGCCGGAAGGUUAAUUGAUGGGGUUAGCGCAAGCGAAGCUCUUGAUCGAAGCCCCGGUAAACGGCGGCCGUAACUAUAACGGUCCUAAGGUAGCGAAAUUCCUUGUCGGGUAAGUUCCGACCUGCACGAAUGGCGUAAUGAUGGCCAGGCUGUCUCCACCCGAGACUCAGUGAAAUUGAACUCGCUGUGAAGAUGCAGUGUACCCGCGGCAAGACGGAAAGACCCCGUGAACCUUUACUAUAGCUUGACACUGAACAUUGAGCCUUGAUGUGUAGGAUAGGUGGGAGGCUUUGAAGUGUGGACGCCAGUCUGCAUGGAGCCGACCUUGAAAUACCACCCUUUAAUGUUUGAUGUUCUAACGUUGACCCGUGAUCCGGGUUGCGGACAGUGUCUGGUGGGUAGUUUGACUGGGGCGGUCUCCUCCUAAAGAGUAACGGAGGAGCACGAAGGUUGGCUAAUCCUGGUCGGACAUCAGGAGGUUAGUGCAAUGGCAUAAGCCAGCUUGACUGCGAGCGUGACGGCGCGAGCAGGUGCGAAAGCAGGUCAUAGUGAUCCGGUGGUUCUGAAUGGAAGGGCCAUCGCUCAACGGAUAAAAGGUACUCCGGGGAUAACAGGCUGAUACCGCCCAAGAGUUCAUAUCGACGGCGGUGUUUGGCACCUCGAUGUCGGCUCAUCACAUCCUGGGGCUGAAGUAGGUCCCAAGGGUAUGGCUGUUCGCCAUUUAAAGUGGUACGCGAGCUGGGUUUAGAACGUCGUGAGACAGUUCGGUCCCUAUCUGCCGUGGGCGCUGGAGAACUGAGGGGGGCUGCUCCUAGUACGAGAGGACCGGAGUGGACGCAUCACUGGUGUUCGGGUUGUCAUGCCAAUGGCACUGCCCGGUAGCUAAAUGCGGAAGAGAUAAGUGCUGAAAGCAUCUAAGCACGAAACUUGCCCCGAGAUGAGUUCUCCCUGACUCCUUGAGAGUCCUGAAGGAACGUUGAAGACGACGACGUUGAUAGGCCGGGUGUGUAAGCGCAGCGAUGCGUUGAGCUAACCGGUACUAAUGAACCGUGAG